rnacentral:lncRNA from 1 species
CCUUUAAUAAAUGAAGCAUGGUUUAAUAUCUUUGUAUUAACAAUAUAAUGGAAUAAAAGAGAGAUAUGAAUGGUUUUACACUAGUCAUUUUUUAACCCUUUAUAGUUUUCUGUUUGGUGUGAACCAAGUUUCGGUGUUGAAGGCCGUAGUUUGAUCUUGAAUAGUUUUCUUUUAACAAAUUGUGUCUUGAAAGGAGAGUUGUCUCAUUGGCACUCUUACCACAUCGUCUCAUAUCUAUAGAACUCCAUACAAAGAAAAAGCUACAUAUCAGACAUAGUGCAUUUUCACAAGUAAGAUAAGGUGUGUGAAAUUCACGCAGUAACCAUCUGUUUAUUAAAAUACAAAUUUUGCUCGAUAAAAAACAUUUAAACUUGAUGAACAGAUAGAUGAAAAAUACAAACGGUAUGUGAAAGUGCAAAAUGUUUCUCCAUAUUUGCAACAUGUCUAACCUGAAAAGUGUCAAUAUAUGAAAAUGAAACUUUUAUUUCAACCUUGCAAUAAUUGUUUGUUAUGAGCAGUUAAAAGACAAGAAAUAUUAUCAUGAUAUGACUUUACAACACAACCCAGUUAAAAUCUGGCUGAUCUCAAGUUCUAUGGAAAAGUUAUCAGAUCCUGAUUAAAAUGUGACACUUGUCGUGUUAAAGAGCAUUUUUGAGCACUUGAUAAUGCGUUGUUUGUCAUAUCUUGACGACGGGUGCCACAUGUGGAGCAUUUUUAUCGGUAAUAUCUUUGCUACAGUAAGAGUAGCGUUUUAUACGUUCUGAAAAUACAUCACUCUAUUAUCUUUGAAAAUAUCACAUUUUAAAACCCUUUACGGAAUGACUAUAAUAUUUUUUUUCUUUCUAUGCAGAAAUAACAUAACAAAUUUGGUGCACACUGAAUAACGCGCGUAGCGGGUUAUCUAAUGGUGUGCACCACACUUUUUUUUUUUUGUUAUUUCGAAUAGACAGAAAACAAUAUUACAGUCAUUUCUUAUAAUUUAAUUCUAAAUUCUAUUUGAAACCGUAGAAAACCAUGAAAAACGGUCACAUGACUAAAUUAUGUCUAUUGGAUGAUAACAAAAUAACGUCAGCCAAUCAGAAGACGCGUUACAGUCAAAAUUAAAUUAUUUAAUUAUGGUUUUUAAAAUUUAUAAUACAAAGCAUAACCAAUAAAUUAAAUACUGUUAGUAACUAAUCAUAAGUAAGGAAAUAGGGUUAGAUGGUAAAUGAAACAACUAUCAACCAGAUACCAAAUGACGUCGAUUAAACCUUGUACAUUGCUAUAAAUUAAUUAUCGUCUGGACAAGUGUCAAUAACUUAAAACAAUAGAUACUUAAGUAUAUGUUAUUUAUUGAUAAGGAAAUCAAUAUAAGUAACCAUGAAAACAAUAUGUAAAAGUCGUAUUACAGUGUUUUAUGGAUAAUAUUUUGAUAUGAAAAAGAUAUUAAUGAUGCGCUGACAUGGAAAAUAAAGUCAAAAUAAAUAUGGACGCUAUCGAUACAGCCAACCAUUCAAACAAAAUUCUUGUAUCUUGUAGAAUACAUGAGUAAAGGUUUUAAGUAAUUGGUCGGGGAAAUAUCCCUCACUUCAUAAUUUACCGGUAACAUAUACAAACAUCACUAGAAACAAGAGCAAAAUGAACGAGAUUGGAUAUAUUAACAUGGUUAAAAUUUGACAAAAAAUAUUUCAUGGUAAAAAGAGUGACAGUUAACAAACGGAAACGAACUCUCGUUCCUUGUAUCGUUAAAUUUAGUCUAAGUAAGGACAGUAAUUGAUAUCUAUUUUUAAUUUGGUUUAAAAACAUUCUCUUGGUAAAUUUCGGGUCUAUAUCAAGACAAUUCUUCAAUAUUUGAAAUAAACAAAAAUAAUUAAAGGACUGCAAUCAGUGUCCAAGGAAAUAUUUAUAACCCGUUGAAGACUAGCCAAAAUGAAUAUUUACACUUUUUGAAGGCCGAAACUGACACAUAUACAAAAAUAUCUUUCAAAACAAAAGCAAAAUUAUAACAUAAAACAUUCUUUGUUAUUCUUGUUAGAUUUAUAAUUUUGUUCAUUUAUAUAUUUAGGAGUUAAGUAUUACAUUCAUUAUCACUGAACUAGUACUCAUUAUUGUUUAGGGACUAGCU